rnacentral:lncRNA from 1 species
ACUUGGGCAGAUCCUGCAACUUUCUGUAGUUGGAGUAUGUCCAGUUCUCUGUAAAUUCCAAACUUGUUAAUGUUCAAAAGCCUCCCCUCCCCAGCAGCUGCUGAGGGGUGGCCUGGGCUGAGCUCUGAGGUCUCUCCUAAUGUUGGGAGCAAAGAAGGAAGCCAUAUGGCUGAGUUCUUCCACUUGCUGGUGGCCUGUCGGAGGCAGGAGCUCCCUGGUAUCUGCUUUAGCGAGGAAGAUUCUGUGGGAUCCUGGUGGUCUCUGAGGUGGCGGGUGUGGCUUUCAUGGGAGCAGUGUUCAGCUCCACCCCAGGCCCUCUGUCACUGGGGACCUGCCACAGGAAGGGGCUUUGUCCCCUUUUGGUCCAGCCUGGGGAAUGCCAGCUCCCGGGGCCCACUUUCGGCACUCCUGGAGCACUCUGGAAAAGCUCCAGUAGGUCCUCUUGGUAGUGCUGAGGCCCCAGAACUGGGAUGGCAGGGCCGUCUCUGGCUUCCCAGCCGUAGCGUCCUACACCCCACAGAUCCCCUCUGCCCUCUAGCACAGGCAGCCAGCGGGUACCCAGCCUCUAUGGUCACACAAGCUUCCUCUUGGCUGUCUCACUGCCCUUCUUCCAUGGCAUGCCCUCACAUGGACCCUCGAUUCCGU